rnacentral:rRNA from 1 species
UACGGAGGGGGCUAGCGUUGUUCGGAAUUACUGGGCGUAAAGCGCACGUAGGCGGCUUUGUAAGUUAGAGGUGAAAGCCCGGGGCUCAACUCCGGAACUGCCUUUAAGACUGCAUCGCUAGAAUUGUGGAGAGGUGAGUGGAAUUCCGAGUGUAGAGGUGAAAUUCGUAGAUAUUCGGAAGAACACCAGUGGCGAAGGCGGGUCUCUGGGCCGAUACUGACGCUGAGGAGCGAAAGCGUGGGGAGCGAACAGG